UGCAAGUGAACGCAUCAUGAGAAUCUCCUUCAGUGAAUACAAGCUGAGUGGUGGUGAAAGUUUACUCACAAAUGGAAUCAGUAGCACAGUUUGAUGUUCUGCUUGUUCAUCUGACGGACACGUUAACGGCGACUGCGCUCCCGCUUCUGUGCAUGUCCAGCAUGAGACACAACUUGAAUCCAACCAGACUGAGCACUGACUCCAGGGACAGACGAGCCUGAAGGACACAGCUGUGAUGACCAUGUUCUGUCUCUUAUGGCAAAGCAGAAAUAUUAAACACUGAGUUGACCAGCAUGAAGCUGCAGAUCUCCACCAUGUUGCUGCUGAGGACAUCAAGUGCUGCAGUUCUUCAUCUAUGAAGAGAAAAAAAGCACUGUUAAAGAAUGUUUUGAGUUGUGUAUGAAGCACAACAGAUUUCAGAUAGAACCGUUGUACUGUGGUCUUGGUUUGUAUCCUCAUGGUUAAAUGUACAUAUGACUCCCUCCCAAGCACAGUCAACAGCAAAUGGUUUCCUCCACGGGUCUUUAAUAAAGUCUUGUUCUUCA